CCUACGGGGUGCAGCAGUGGGGAAUAUUGCACAAUGGGGGAAACCCUGAUGCAGCCAUGCCGCGUGUGUGAAGAAGGCCUUCGGGUUGUAAAGCACUUUCAGUAGGGAGGAAGGUAGUGUAGUUAACACCUGCAUUAUUUGACGUUACCUACAGAAGAAGCACCGGCUAACUCCGUGCCAGCAGCCGCGGUAAUACGGAGGGUGCGAGCGUUAAUCGGAAUUACUGGGCGUAAAGCGCAUGCAGGCGGCCUGUUAAGUCAGAUGUGAAAGCCCGGGGCUUAACCUCGGAAUUGCAUUUGAAACUGGCAGGCUAGAGUCUUGUAGAGGGGGGUAGAAUUUCAGGUGUAGCGGUGAAAUGCGUAGAGAUCUGAAGGAAUACCAACGGCGAAAGCACUCUGCUGGGCCGACACUGACACUGAGAGACGAAAGCUAGGGGAGCGAAUGGGAUUAGAUACCCUCGUAGUC
rnacentral:rRNA from 1 species